GUGUCCAAACCUACCAUUGUCACCUCCAACAUUACUGCAGUGGAGACCAAGGACUUCUCAUUGACAUGCCAGGCUACAGGUCAAAUUCACGCUUACCAGUGGUUCAUAAAUGGAGUUGCCCCAGCUGGUAGCAGGAUACAGCUGUCGCCAGAUAAGAGGACACUCACUCUCAGCAGGCUCACAAGAAGAGAUAACAAAGGGCCAUAUGAGUGUGAAAUCCGGAAUCCAUUUUAUAGCAAUAGGAGUGAUGCAUUCACACUGGAUGUUGCCUAUGGCCCAGAUAUUGCCACAAUUGACCAUAUAAGCGAUCAGUUCGCAACGGGGAUAAAUGUUACCUUGAGCUGUGUUGCUGAUUCUAACCCACCAGCACAAUUCACUUGGUUACAGAAUGGACAAUCUGUCAGCAACUCAGCCUCAUUUUCUAUUAUUACAUCCCUGAAUCAUAUCGGAAACUAUA